rnacentral:rRNA from 1 species
GUCCGAGUUGUAAUCUGGAGAAGCGUUUUCAGUACCGGCCCGCGUACAAGUCCCCUGGAACGGGGCGUCGCAGAGGGUGAGAAUCCCGUCUUUGACGCGGUCUGCCCGGUGCCAUGCGAUGCGCUCUCGAAGAGUCGAGUUGUUUGGGAAUGCAGCUCAAAAAGGGUGGUAAAUUCCAUCUAAAGCUAAAUACUGGCGAAAGACCGAUAGCGAACAAGUACCGUGAGGGAAAGAUGAAAAGCACUUUGGAAAGAGAGUCAAACAGUACGUGAAAUUGUUGAAAGGGAAACGCUUGAAGUCAGUCGCGUCUCCCGGGAUUCAGCAGGUUCCUUCGCGGGACAGGCGCAUUUCCCGGGGUUUUGACGGGCCAGCGUCGAUUUCGACCGUCGUAAAAAGGCGAAGAGGAACGUGGCACCUUUCGGGGUGUGUUAUAGCCUCGCGUCGUAUGCGAACGGUUUAGGGAUCGAGGAACGCAGCGCGCCUUUUUCAUUAAGGGCCGGGGUUCGCCCACGUAACGCGCUUAGGACGCUGGCGUAAUGGCUUUAAGCGACCCGUCUUGAAACACGGACCAAGGAGUCUAACAUGCU